AAAUAGAAUACAAGAAAAAAGGAUAAGGUCAAGAACCUUUUCACCAAAGAGAGAUUCUGAUUUUUUUGGAUACAUGAUCUUAUGCGCGGGGGCUCGAUUGGUUGGGCUCGAGGUUGAUGUAGUACAUGUUAGUGUUGAGCUUCAAAUUGACUGUUGUGGGUCUUUGUGAAGACAAUACAACUGUAAAGCAGUUCGUCUCUGAGGAGGAGUAGUGUGGACUACCCGAUUAUGGAGGAAUUGAGCUUAAGCAUGUCGGGGGAUGCGACCCCCAAUUUUUUCCCGAGUUGGAGUAAGCAUGACCAGUGUCUCGCUGAUUCCGAUUCAACUACAUGUCAUGAUUUGAUUUGUCUUUUUGUCAAAAUUGUUUUUCCCCUUUUCUUCUUUAAAUAGAUUUUGAAUUUGAGUUUAGAGGAAAUAAACUCCUAGUGAGUGCUUCCUUUUCAAUAUAUUUUACUCAUACGAAAUGAAUCUAAACUAGCCUACUUAGCGUUUCAAAUUAAAUAAAUCUUCCAAUUACACUUGCUUUGCGAACAGUCUUAUAUAUAGCUCUAUUUUAUUUUGUUUUCCCCUUGAGGGUAUUAUGUAGAAUUUGCACUCCACUGACCUAAAAGAGUUUUGUUCUUUUUGUCCUAGUUUUUGCAUAAAUAGCAGAAUUUAU
rnacentral:lncRNA from 1 species